UCAUGGGUUUAGAUUUAUGACAGGCCUGUCCACCUGGGCCUCUCAUAGUACACCUGCCAGAGCAAACUGUGUCCCUGAACCAAUCCCUGGCCUCUGUGCCCAUAGGCUGCUGGCACUGAAGUGGGUUACACAGUA
ensembl:snoRNA